UACGAGGGGGGCGAGCGUUGUUCGGAAUUAUUGGGCGUAAAGGGUGCGUAGGCGGUUCGGUAAGUUUCGUGUGAAAUCUUCGGGCUCAGCUCGAAGCCUGCACGAGAUACUGCCGGGCUUGAGUGUGGGAGAGGUGAGUGGAAUUUCCGGUGUAGCAGUGAAAUGCGUAGAUAUCGAGAGGAACACCGGUGGCGAAGGCGAGUCCCUGGAAAACACCUGACACUGAGGCACGAAAGCUAGGGGAGCAAACAGG
rnacentral:rRNA from 1 species